GAUGAAGAACGGAGCGAAAUGCGAUAAGUAAUGUGAAUUGCAGAAUUCAGUGAAUCAUCGAAUCUUUGAACGCACAUUGCGCCCGCCAGUAUUCUGGCGGGCAUGCCUGUCUGAGCGUCAUUUCAACCCUCAUGCCCCUAGGGCGUGGUGUUGGGGAUCGGCCAAAGCCCGCGAGGGACGGCCGGCCCCUAAAUCUAGUGGCGGACCCGUCGUGGCCUCCUCUGCGAAGUAGUGAUAUUCCGCAUCGGAGAGCGAUGAGCCCCUGCCGUUAAACCCCCAACUUUCCAAGGUUGACCUCAGAUCAGGAAGGAAUACCCGCUGAACUUAAGAAUAUCAAUAAGCGGAGGA
rnacentral:misc_RNA from 1 species